rnacentral:rRNA from 1 species
UGGGGAAUCUUGCACAAUGGGGGAAACCCUGAUGCAGCGACGCCGCGUGAGCGAUGAAGGUUUUCGAAUCGUAAAGCUCUGUCCUAUGGGAAGAUAAUGACGGUACCAUAGGAGGAAGCCCCGGCUAACUACGUGCCAGCAGCCGCGGUAAUACGUAGGGGGCGAGCGUUGUCCGGAAUUACUGGGCGUAAAGGGUUCGCGGGCGGCAUGACAAGUCCGAUGUAAAAGGCGAAAGCUCAACUUUCGUAAGCAUCGGAAACUGUCAAGCUUGAGUGAAGGAGAGGCAAGUGGAAUUCCUAGUGUAGCGGUGGAAUGCGUAGAUAUUAGGAGGAAUACCGGUGGCGAAGGCGACUUGCUGGACUUCAACUGACGCUGAGGAACGAAAGCGUGGGUAGCAAACAGG